rfam:Schistosoma mansoni strain Puerto Rico chromosome 2, complete genome
GUCCAGCUGACGAGUCUCGAAUAAGACGAAACGCAGAUUCUGGAU